GCUCGCAUAGCUCAGUUGGUAGAGCGCAUCCCCGGUAAGGAUGAGGUCGCUGGUUCAAUUCCAGCUGUGAGCACCA
rnacentral:tRNA from 1 species